UUAAAUCAUGCUAUUUUAUUUAUUGUCUUUUAUUUUUUCUUUUACCUUAUUUGGUAGAUUUUGUUAUAUUUCUAUUGUUAUAUUUUGUAAAAUAGAAACUAUGGGUAGUUUUUGUAAUAUUGACUCUUAAAGUGUAUAUUUAUGUGAUUUGCCAUAUAAGAAUUGAAAUUGAACCCUUAAUUGGCCCAUCAACAAAGCUGCCCAUUUUUGGGCUUAAAAUUAUGGACUUUGCUCCAUUUUCUGAACUGUAUACCAGCUAUAUAUCACAGCUCUUUCCCCUGCGUUUUUCAUGUAUAUCUCCAAGUAUACACUGUAUAUCAGUGUGGAAAUCAACAUAUUUCUUCUCCAUCUUUUAUUAUACACUGGGGGACAGUGUUCAGUUACUGUUUGCGGUGUAUACGCGCUAUAUAUCAGUGUAUACCAGCCUUGUUUCUUCAAAUAUUAGACCAUUUCGGAUUCAUAGGAUGCUUGGACUAGACGGUGUUCGAAUGCAAGGAUAUGGGGAGUCCCAUUGGACUCAUCCGGAAGAGUUCAUGUAAGGAGAAGAAGAGAUAAAGAUUAGUAUGCGUCUUAAGCUAUAUUUGUAUUGAAACAUAACUUCGUAAAGGAAAGGAAUGGAAUAUUUUAACACUUUAGUCAAAAAUGCAAAUAUUCAAAGAAUGCUUGGUUGCCAAACUGUAUUGAAACAAAAACAUGCACAAGUAAUCAUAGAAUAUGCAUGGAUCAAGUCCCUAAAUUUUAAUUAAUAUCACUAAUGUGACUAAAACAAAAGAAGAGAGAUCAUGCUACAAACUUGUUCUAGUUAUCAUUUAAAACAGAGAAUGAAAACAAACAAACAACAACAACAAAAUCAUUUAACACAGAAGCAGAAAACUAAUCAAGCCAAACCAACAUGAAUUUGUAAGCAUUUUUUUUUAAGAAUUGAAGCAGUAAAGACGAGGCCGAAAAUAUUGAAUCAAGAAUCACACACAAAAGGGAACAAACUUUGACAAAUCCUGACAGUGAACUUAAGAUCCAAAGUGAAAAAAGUUAACUUAAAAUCCUAAGUCAAAGCACAACAAUAGUGAAAUCAAAAUAAAGUUGUACUUUCAUACUUGAUCAUUGAUUUUUCAGAAGAAAGGAUAAGGAAACAACGCACAUACAAGUCACAUGGUUUUAGCAAAACAAAAAUUUAUCCAUAUCAACUUCCACGCGAUAUCAUAAGGAUAUAUAAGAAAAGUUUACUUACGAACAAAGAGAGAAUUAGGCCAAUGUAUCUAACCUCAAAAUAGCAUUCAUGAAUCCAACAAAAAGAAACAUCUCAUAAACAACAUAAACCUGUUAAUUAGCUUAUGAGGAAAAUUCAUUGCUUGUUUGAAAGAUUUUAUUUUUUCAUCAUUCCACCCUUUUAAAAUCUGAAAACAUUGCACAAGGAACAUGGAAAAGAGGCUUGAAAUCCGAGCAAUCUAACAUACUAAGCAUAACAGAAUCAAGCUAACACAAAAAAAAACAAAAAAACGCAGCACACUGUUUUGAUCGAUACCAAAGUAAGGCAGUAAUUAGAAAAUAAUCAGUGAAGAAAAAAAAUCAUGAAUAAACACCGACUAAACGGAGAAAGCAGUAGAUUCAAAUACACGUUUCGCACGAAAAUUCUAUGACCUUCGAGACCUCUUGAGCGCAUAAUUCCACCGUUAACACACACACAAUACGAGUGAUAUGAAAAAGAAAAGAAGAAGAAGCAAUGAACUAAAACGAGACGUGAUUUUACCUUUUUUCGGGCAGCGAAAUUGGGACGACGAAUGGACGACUUCAAACUGGUGUUUCUUCGGGAAUUUUUUGGCUGCAUAGCAUUAGAAGCACGCGCCUCCAGAAUCCUCAAUUUUCCCCCAAAAAAUCCUCCUCCUUCUCCUGUUCUUUCAACCUCUAUUUAUAGGGGAACAUUGGGGUUUUGAAUUUUUGAAAACAAUGAUCUUAAAUCCGAAUUUCGGAAUGAUUUUUUCAGAGAAUUGGAGUCCAUAAUGAGACAAAGACCAGUCUUUGAAAUUCAGUAGAAAACAAGCUCGCACAAAGGAAGAGAUACAUAUCCGUUGUAUCUUGCUCAGAACAGAGGAGCACAAGCUGAAAAGAGAAAAGUGAGAGAAAUUUUUAGCCAUUCUCGACUGUAACUGUAAGAGGGGUAAAAGGGUAAUAGGCGGGGGGAGGGGCGGGGGGUUCAGGGGGUCUGUCGUUGAUGCCGGGUUGAGGAUUGACGGGUUCGGGUUAGGGUCGGGUUUUCGUUGAAGUCGUUGCUGUUUGUUGCGUUGAAAUUGUUGUUGCUGGGGUUGGAGUUUGUACGGCCUUUGCUGAUAACGUUGAAUUGCUAAGGGGAAAAGGAUGUGGAGCUGGUUUGUCGAUGGUCGCUGUUGUUACAGCGUUGGUAUUGUCGUUGGUGUACGUUGCUGUGAUGACAACGUUUUGGUCGUUGGCUGUUGUUGAAUUGAGUAAGAAGUGGGGGUGUAUAUAGGUUGGGUUGGUUUGGAUUUUCAUUAAAAUAUAAUCAAAUUAAUAAUGUCG
rnacentral:lncRNA from 1 species